ACUUUUGUGGUGUAUAGGUGGCACACUAGGCUCGUAUUCAAGAGGUCCGUGGUUCGUGUCCCGGCGAGGGCA
rnacentral:tRNA from 1 species